GGGGGCGUGGUCUAGUGGUUAGGACGCCGGCCUUUCAAGCCGGAGAACGCGGGUUCGAUCCCCGCCGCCCCUA
rnacentral:tRNA from 2 species